rfam:Erinaceus europaeus unplaced genomic scaffold scaffold00234, whole genome shotgun sequence
AUAGAAGUUUUUCUUAAAACCACAAAGAUUUAAAAAAAAAAACAGU